rnacentral:lncRNA from 1 species
ACAUUCUAAAAAACAGCAUCGUCUGGAUCAAAAUUUUAGGCAUAUCAGGUGGUAAGGCUGAAAACCUGAAAUUCAGAUUUGUUUGACCUUUACACCUGGGUUCUUACCUGUAUGGUGGAG